CCUCGAGCUGGGGGAGGUCUCAUCCUCCACUCCGCCGGACAGGGAGGACGGCGGUUCGCUCCUCUCCUUUUGUCGGCCUUGUUCCUCCCCGAUAUUUCAGGACCGCCCGCCUUGUUCCCCUCCUCUUUCUCCUCCAAAUGAUCCGGAUCAAAGCGCUCCUGGGCGGAUGAUUGGGAAGAACGGAAUCCUGCCAGAAAGGCGCCUUGAACCCAAGACCGGUCCCGAAAAGAGCAGCUUUAGGGUCUCAGUUGAGGGGUUGGUGAGACCUUUUCACGGAGAGUGGCUGCUGAAGUUCGUGGCGGGUUUCUGCGGUGAGAUGGCGGGCGUCGAGCUCAGCUGCGUUUGCAAACUUCUCUCUUGCCUUUGAAGUGAGUCCCUCCCGUUUCCGCUGGUUGUUGCGGAAAGAAGAUGCGUAUCAAUGAAAGACGUCUACGAGCCCUAAGAGGAAAAUCUGUAUCAGUCGUAGCAACUUCAGAUUGUCGGAAAAUAUAAACCUGAUCCGUGGAAGUCAGUCUUAAUUUUGAACCAGCCUUAACUUACCAAAGUCUUUUUUAAGAAACUAUUUCCCUAAGGCUUUGUGAAGGAGAUGUAACUGAAUGCAGUGUGACUUAAAAGCACAAAUCUGGAGCCAGCAAUUGUUAUUGAAGAAAUAACCCUUUUACAUAAUGGAAUUUCCACAAGCAUGACUCAUCUGUGGAACCCCUGGAAGAAAUGGCCAAAGCUGGGUCCUGGAGGGUAUGUAAAAUAAUCAAGAAUCUGCAGGACUGUGUUGUGCUUCUGUAGAAAUCUCAAAAUUGCAACACUUGAACCAAAGGAAAGAAGAUCACACAAGAAGGUCUAUGAAUUACAUUUGCCUGUAUCAUCGGCUCAUUUAAUAAUGAUUGCAAUUUUUUUGCAAUUUUUAUUGCUAUUAAAUUGCUGCUAAUUUACGGUA